CAAUGGAUGUAGAGGAAAGUGGCGGACGGGUGAGUAACGCGUGAGGAACCUGCCUUGAAGAGGGGGACAACAGUUGGAAACGACUGCUAAUACCGCAUGACGCAUAGGGGUCGCAUGAUCUUUAUGCCAAAGAUUUAUCGCUUCAAGAUGGCCUCGCGUCUGAUUAGCUGGUUGGCGGGGUAACGGCCCACCAGGGCGACGAUCAGUAGCCGGACUGAGAGGUUGAACGGCCACAUUGGGACUGAGAUACGGCCCAGACUCCUACGGGAGGCUGCAGUGGGGAAUAUUGGGCAAUGGGCGCAAGCCUGACCCAGCAACGCCGCGUGAAGGAAGAAGGCUUUCGGGUUGUAAACUUCUUUUAAGAGGGAAGAGGAGAAGACGGUACCUCUAGAAUAAGCCACGGCUAACUACGUGCCAGCAGCCGCGGUAAUACGUAGGUGGCAAGCGUUGUCCGGAUUUACUGGGUGUAAAGGGCGUGCAGCCGGGUCUGCAAGUCAGAUGUGAAAUCCAUGGGCUCAACCCAUGAACUGCAUUUGAAACUGUAGAUCUUGAGUGUCGGAGGGGCAAUCGGAAUUCCUAGUGUAGCGGUGAAAUGCGUAGAUAUUAGGAGGAACACCAGUGGCGAAGGCGGAUUGCUG
rnacentral:rRNA from 1 species